rnacentral:rRNA from 1 species
AACCUACCCAUCAGAGGGGGGAUAGCCCGGCGAAAGUCGGAUUAAUACCGCAUAAACAGGGGUCCCGCAUGGGAAUAUUUGUUAAAAGGAUUAAUUGCUGAUGGAUGGGCAUGCGUUUCCAUUAGAUAGUUGGUGAGGUAACGGCUCACCAAGUCUGCGAUGGAUAGGGGUUCUGAGAGGAAGGUCCCCCACACUGGUACUGAGACACGGACCAGACUCCUACGGGAGGCAGCAGUGAGGAAUAUUGGUCAAUGGGCGAGAGCCUGAACCAGCCAAGUCGCGUGAAGGAUGACUGCCCUAUGGGUUGUAAACUUCUUUUAUACGGGAAUAAAAAAGGGAACGUGUUCCCUAUUGCAUGUACCGUACGAAUAAGCAUCGGCUAACUCCGUGCCAGCAGCCGCGGUAAUACGGAGGAUGCGAGCGUUAUCCGGAUUUAUUGGGUUUAAAGGGUGCGUAGGUGGAUUCUUAAGUCAGUGGUGAAAGUUUGUCGCUCAACGAUAAAAUUGCCAUUGAAACUGGGUAUCUUGAGUAUGUUUGAGGUAGGCGGAAUGCGUGGUGUAGCGGUGAAAUGCAUAGAUAUCACGCAGAACUCCGAUUGCGAAGGCAGCUUACUAAACCAUAACUGACACUGAAGCACGAAAGCGUGGGGAUCAAACAGGAUUAGAUACCCUGGUAGUCCACGCCGUAAACGAUGAUAACUAGGGGUUUGCGAUACACAGUAAGUCCUACAGCGAAAGCGUUAAGUUAUCCACCUGGGGAGUACG